GUGGCGGACGGGUGAGGAACGCGUGAGAACCUGCCUCAAGGUCGGGGACAACAGUUGGAAACGACUGCUAAUACCGGAUGAGCCGAAUAGGUAAAAGAUUUAUCGCCUAGAGAGGGGCUCGCGUCUGAUUAGCUAGAUGGUGAGGUAAAGGCUUACCAUGGCGACGAUCAGUAGCUGGUCUGAGAGGAUGAGCAGCCACACUGGGACUGAGACACGGCCCAGACUCCUACGGGAGGCAGCAGUGGGGAAUUUUCCGCAAUGGGCGAAAGCCUGACGGAGCAAUACCGCGUGAGGGAGGAAGGCUCUUGGGUUGUAAACCUCAAAACUUAGGGAAGAAAAAAAUGACGGUACCUAAUGUAAGCAUCGGCUAACUCCGUGCCAGCAGCCGCGGUAAUACGGAGGAUGCAAGCGUUAUCCGGAAUCAUUGGGCGUAAAGAGUCCGUAGGUGGCACUUCAAGUCUGCUUUCAAAGACCGAAGCUCAACUUCGGAAAGGGAGUGGAAACUGAAGAGCUAGAGUAUAGUAGGGGUAGAGGGAAUUCCUAGUGUAGCGGUGAAAUGCGUAGAGAUUAGGAAGAACACCAGUGGCGAAGGCGCUCUACUGGGCAUAUACUGACACUGAGGGACGAAAGCUAGGGGAGCGAAAGGGAUUAGAUACCCCUGUAGUCCUA
rnacentral:rRNA from 1 species